GGUGACCGCAGGAGGCCACACUCAGUCCCCAAGGGCCUUUCAAUUGUGAUGUCACCAAGACAUCACAAUUGUACACACUCAGGGGUACAUGCCUAGCCCAACAGAGAAGUUCCCAUGGGAACUUGGGGGCUUCGCUUUGGCUUAUCGACCGCACACGAGUCACCUUGGGCCUUAGCAUCCGCUCCCAACAGAUCUUUUCCUUAUGAGCCAGACUAAUCGGAGGAAAGAAACUGGGUGUUGGGGAGAAUUUUAAAAAGGGAGAGAAUGAGAGCCAUAAAAGUCUCCUGGAGACUAAUUCCCCCAGGUGGACAAUUUCUCAGGGGACGCCUGUCCUUUAAGGUGUCUGCAUUUAGGACGAAGCAUAAAAAGUCGACCUACGCAGUCAUUUCCACCACGUAAGAUCCUUCCACAGCACCUGAGCAGUAGGCGGAGGGAAGGAAUUCCUUACUACAUCACCACAUCAGUCAACAGAAUUCACUUUUAAAUGGUGCAGAGGAGCCGCCAGGCAGGCGAAGCUGCAGUACCCCGAGGAGACUGUGAGCAGGUCGCUGGAGUGAGGCAGGUUGAUGUGCUUAGACCUCCCCGCUGUGGCCCCGGGGUAGUCCACUCACUCACUGUGCCUGGGCUUGCCAUCUAGGAGAGAGAGGCCUCGCCUGCUUCCCAGGGCUGUUUGAGGAUAAGUGGAAAGAGUGACAGCUAGCGAGUCUGUGGCCAGGUCAGCUUAUUUCACAAGAUUAACGGUCAUUGUCCACCCUCCCUGUGCGUCCCACCCCCUGAUCCCCCGUCUCUGUUAUUGGUCCACUCCUCCCUUGACCACCUGACUCCUGCCUGGCAAACCCUGGACCUGGCCAUCCCUGGUGUCCAUUGAUCCCAGACAGUGCAGUUCCUACUACAGACCCCCACGCAACCCAUCUCCCCACUGCGGACACAGAACUGAGUGCAGAAUAAAUGCACUUGGGCUGGGGCUCAGUGGUUAGAGUGCUCGCCUAGCAUGUGUGAGGCACUGGGUUCAAUUCUCAGCACCACAUAUAAAUAACUGAAUAGAAUAAAAGUCCAUCAACAACUACAAAUUUUUUUUAAAAGAAGAAAUGUACUUUGUUCUAGUGAACCCAGGAUGGGGGGCCGAACUCUUCCCCAAGGUUUAGGUGGCCCUCCCGUGUGCAGACCACAGCACUGGUUCCGAUAGCAGCGAACUCUCCUCCACUCGGCGAACGGCCCCACCAGACAUGGCACUCCAAGUCUUCAUUGCAAGCUCCGAGUGGCUGCUCUGCAGGCACAGGCUCUUGUUUGUUCUUCCUUACUGUAAAUGAUACCCCCAAAGGUAGCGCUGUUAAUAGGAUCUCACUGUCCCACUGGGAUGGCUGCCGGGAGAGCCUGGCAGCCGACCAUCGCAUGCCGUCCAGUUGGAGGACAGAAAGCUGCAGAGAUGGGCUCCCUUGUGCAGACUGGCGCCUGCUGGUGAUCAUUCCUGCCUGACCCCUGGGAAUGCAGAGAGAAGCAGUGCCUCCUGUCAGCUCUCCAGCCCUGCGUGGGCCAGGGCAGUGGGCAGCACUCCAAGUAGACAUCCCCAAGACACAGUGAGUCUGGGUGGCACAUUUAAACAAAAUGUCAUCACACAAAAGGAUUACAAGGGACAUUGAUAGUCACCUAGUUUGCUCCUUUGGACUUCUAAUAUCUUUGAAAACAUUCCCUCAAUGUCUCAUUCAUAACCAAAGCAAAGAGCCUUGCCUACAAUGGGGACAGGGACAAUACUGAGUUGUCAAUGAGCAGCCAGGACAGCCUCGCCACUGCCCCUCCUCACCCUCCAGCGGUGCCCUCGGCUUCUCCCUUUGUCUCCGCCCUCGGCCACCUGAGUGGCCUCCUGAUCGCCACAUUCUGUCUCCUAGAGGCCUUUUGCCGUGAUCUCCCCUUGAAGAGCAACAUGAGCACAUAACAGACGCAGCUGGCCCUCAGCAUAUUUUCUAGGAAUUACUUCCCCCUCUUCUAAAACACAGAUGUUAACAGAGAUCUAGAUAUUCCAGCGACCCUCGGCCCCUGCACAGGGGGAGCGCUGCAUUGGGAAAAGAACACCGUCCCCGGCUUCUGUUGGGCCACCAAAUCACUUAACUCAGGCUCCAGGGCUUGGUGCACCAUUGCUAAGUAAUAAAAAGACCUCAGAGAAAUGCCA